AAAUGACCCAUUGGAAAGUAAUACCCCAAUAUGAGAUUGACCUGUUGCACAGUAAUACACGGCCGUGUCUUCGGCUUUCAGGCUGUUCAUCUGCAGAUACAGCGUGUUCUUGCCGUUGUCUCUGGAGAUGGUGAACCGGCCUUUCACAGAGUCUGCGUAGUAUGUGCUACUUCCAUCAUAC